UACGUAGGGUGCAAGCGUUAAUCGGAAUUACUGGGCGUAAAGCGUGCGCAGGCGGUGAUGUAAGACAGGUGUGAAAUCCCCGGGCUUAACCUGGGAACUGCAUUUGUGACUGCAUCGCUGGAGUGCGGCAGAGGGGGAUGGAAUUCCGCGUGUAGCAGUGAAAUGCGUAGAUAUGCGGAGGAACACCGAUGGCGAAGGCAGCCCCCCUGGGCCAAUACUGACGCUCAUGCACGAAAGCGUGGGGGAGCAAACAGG
rnacentral:rRNA from 1 species